rnacentral:tRNA from 1 species
GGGGUUGUAGCUCAAUGGUAGAGCACUCGCCUAGCAAGUGUGGGACGCUGGGUUUGAUCCUCAGCACCACA